UCUUCCAGGUCGUGAUGUGUUUCUUACAGGUUGCCUUCAGCGAUGCCUGCAGAAACCGGCUGGUCUUCAUUCAAACAGGGGCUGUGGGGUUUGGUGGUGCCAGAGCCUAUCCCGGCAAGCAGCAGGAUGGCACACCAAUCCACCACAGGGCACACGCACACACUCAUGUCAGAUCUCUGGACUGUGUGAGGAAACACACGCACACGGAGAGAACAAAUUCCGCACAGACGGCUCCCCAGGUCUGGAACUGAACCCAGGGCUUCAAGGCACCGAUGCUGACCAGUGCCACCACACCUCCCACAUGAAAGCCCCAUCCUACAGGAUCCAGACUGGCUCCCUGUGAAACUGCUAGCUCGCUAGCAAGAAAUACAAAGCUAAAUGACUUGAAUGAUACAACUGAUUGUAAUAGAGAUCUCUUUAUUAUAGUGCAUUUCUCAGAUGAGUUACAAGAUGGUUAAAAAAAAACAAAACUAAAAACCAAAGGGAAAGUU